ensembl:lncRNA
GACAGAACGACUGCAGAGAUAGCAUAAGGGCGGUUGAAUGAACUACAACCAACAGCUAAAGCAGCAAAAGAGGUCCCAGGGAAAUAUGUCAUGUAUUUCAGGGUAUGCAUUGAAAUUUGGUCGACAGCUGCAUUUCAGAGGUGGCAGCCUUCACUGCCUGCUGGCAGUUGUUCAAACUUUUAUUGCAAGAGAGGACAGAAAUGAAGACACAAUAAGUGGGCAGCACAAGACACAUAUGUUCCAUCGUGUAAUUUGUGAUAUGCUUCAGAUGGUAUUCUUACAUGAAAUGGAUUUUAAGCUCUUAGAUUUGCAAAUGCUAAGCAUAUCUGAUGUUAUAACCGCUACCAUUCAACUUUGACCUCCUUCCCUUCCUUUUGAAGAAUUAUAUCUUUAAUACUUGAUGCCUGCAGUGACAAAACCUUCACUAAAAAAUGUGUCUCUUCACAUCAGAGCUGCCAACGGAACAUGUUUUCAGAUGUACCAAUGGUUUGGUAACUUAUAUCUGAAAAUGUGAGUCUGAUCACUGCAGACAGUGCGGGGGGGAAAUUCACACUGCCCACAUUCUGCUGCCUUCAAAGAACCUCAACGUUUUCCACUUUCUCUCACCUCUUUCUGGUGGUGUUCUGUCCCACAGCAGCCUUUAAGUGGAGUCAGGGUCUUAUUUUGAGCAGCUUUCAGAAUGGUUUCCUUUUCUAGAACAGUUCACUUGUCAAAUUUUCUAGUGCCAAGCAAAAGAAAAGUUCCAGUUUCUGAUGAAUUUAGUCUUCAUAUUUACCUCAGAUCAAAGUGGACCUUUUUGAUGUUUAUCUUUUGUCCUGCCCAACUUGAUUUUUAAAAGACACAGGUACUUUCUUCCUUUAAAGCAUACACUUGCUAUUUUUACACUGCAUAACAAUAUUCACAAGCUGUACCCCUGUCUAUCAACACAUAGCAGAAUACUUUCAUUUUUAUACCCCUCAAAAAUCACCAGUGUAAUGUUAAAUACUGCCUGCUUCCUAUAACAACCACUGAGCCGCAGCUUCUCCUCAAACCUUCUCAUAUAUUAUUCCCUUAAAUCUUAGAGUCAAGCGUUAACCUGGAACUUGCUGUGUCUGUGCACUGAGAUCCACCACGAGUCUUUCCAAACAAGCUCUUUUGUAGGGAUGGAACUUCCCCCCCACCUAGCGGCGAAAUCACAGACCAACACAAAAUGCGAGUGAGUAGCGACGGAUUGUGCAGCACGGUGAUGGCACGCCGAAUGGCUGACACUGUACGGAUUUGAUACUUGGGUUAUUUAUGUGACACUUCAAUAGAGACAGCCUUAAGUGCAGUGUUUUUUGAGUAUGGAUCUGUACCAACAAGCAAAGAGAUAUUCAAAAUGAAUAUGAAGAUCUGACAUUAAUGCUGGAGUUACGUAAGUUGAAGGCAAUGAAAGAUGGACAUACACCACUUAGUCUGACCUUUUCCACUACUGCUGUUGAAAAGCACUGCAUUGCUUCCAUCAGCUCCAGACAAGACUGCUGCCAAGGCUUUGGCUCUGCAGGGCUCCAGUUCCCCUCAAGGUCAUCUUCCACUGGUGCACCUUCCUUUUGCUGUUACAGUUUCUGCUCUAACUCCUUCCUUGUCCCUAACACUCCACUCUCCUCAGUACCGC